CAGCAGCCGCGGUAAUACCAGCGCCACAAGUGGCAGUCACGAUUAUUGGGCCUAAAGCGUCCGUAGCCGGACGUGCACCUCCUUUGUGAAAUCACACGGCUUAACCGUGUGGCGUGCAGAGGACACGACACGUCUUGGGAGUGGGAGGAGUCAGAGGUAUUCGAAAAAAACCGGUAAAAUGGUAUAAUCCCUUGAGGACCGCCGAUGGCGAAGGCAUCUGACCAGAACACGUCCGACGGUGAGGGACGAAAGCCAGGGGAGCGAACCGGAUUAGAUACCCGAGUAGUCCUGGCCGUAAACGCUGCGAGCUAGGCGUUGCACUACCUCUGUGGUUGUGCAGUGUCGAAGCGAAGGCGAUAAGCUCGCCGCCUGGGGAGUACGGUCGCAAGGCUGAAACUUAAAGGAAUUGGCGGGGGCGCACCACAAGGGGUGCGGCGUGCGGUUUAAUCGAAUUCAACACCGAGAAUCUCACUAGGGGCGACGGCAGGAUGAUGGUCCGCCUGAAGGGCGUACCGGACGAGCCGAGAGGUAGUGCAUGGCCGCCGCCAGCUCGUGUCGUAAGAUGUCCAGCUAAGCCUGGUAACGAGCGAGACCUGUAUCACUACUUGCAAACGGCUGAUUUCUCAGGACCGUGCACAGUAGUGAGACUGCCUUGGUAACAAGGAGGAAGGCGCAGGCUACGGUAGGUCUGUAUGCUCCGAAUCUCCUAGGUUACACGCGCGCAACAAUGGUUGGGACAAUGGGCUGCAACACCGAAAGGUGAAGCUAAUCCUCGAAACCCAAUCCAAGUCCAGAUCGAGGUUUGUAACUCAGCCUCGUGACGUCGGAAUCCCUAGUAACCAGAUGUUAUCAGCUUCUGGUGAAUAUGUCCCUGCCCCUUGCACAC
rnacentral:rRNA from 1 species